rnacentral:rRNA from 1 species
UACGUAGGGGGGCAAGCGUUGUCCGGAUUUAUUGGGCGUAAAGCGCUCGCAGGCGGCUCGAUGCGUCGUGCGUGAAACACCCCCGACUCAACUGGGGAGGGUCGUGCGAUACGGUCGGGCUGGAGGCCAGUAGGGGGAUGCGGAAUUCCGGGUGUAGUGGUGGAAUGCGUAGAGAUCCGGAGGAACACCAGCGGCGAAGGCGACACACUGGGCCGUACCUGACACUAAGACGCGACAGCAUGGGGGAGCGAACGGG